CAACUACUCCCUCUGUCCCAAAUUUCUUGUCUUAGAUUUGUCUAGAUACGGAUGUAUCUAAUACUAAAAUGUGACUUGAUACAUCCGUAUCUACACAAAUCUAAGACAAGAAUUUUGGGACGGAGGGAGUACUUU
rnacentral:pre_miRNA from 1 species